CCAAAGCGGGUUGUUUCUACGUGGAAAAGCUAACCAGCGCUGGGGUGUGCCGGGAGAAAAGAGGUAUUAAGCUGUUGGAUGAGAUCAAGUGUUGGGUUUUUCACCUUUUGGACCAAAAUGUUGACACUUGUGCCAUGCUACAGUUGAUAACGUUACUGUAAGGUGUGUUGGUACGGUAAUGGUACGUGAGACGUAUAUCCAGGCCUUGACAUCUCGGCAUUACCUCCUCCUCUUGGUUGGACACUAAAUACACGCAGGCUCGUUGCUCUCGGUGCUUUGCAUUAACAGAAGAUGGGUGUAGGGAAGAAAGAACCACGUCAGCGUGCGGUGUCAUCUCUGUCUUCCUGCUUUUAGGGUCGUGAGUGGUGAUGGGCUCUUUUUUGGUUCUGGAUAGAGGUGUGUAACAGGAGUUUACAUAUUGCUAGAUUGUUGCAAGCCAGCAGUUUGGCUCCUGAAGUGGCACCUGGUAGGUUGUUGGCGAGGUGCUGCUGGAAAGGGCUACGGCGAGAGGUCAUUAAAGCUCCACCUGAAUUUUUCUGAAUGAAGAAUUUCCAGUGUAGAUAAACUGGGUGUUUUGCCCAAGAAGCCAGUUCCAGCUUGCUGGAUUUCUAUACUCAUUGAGUAUUCACUAUGUCUUUGGAGUCUUCUUUCAGUUCGCUCCACUUCCAAGCAGAGUUCCUCAUCUUAAAGAAAAGUCGGGAGACACAGACCAAAUGCUCAUCAGUCAUUAAGAAGAGAAACCCAAAUAAUUUUUAAGGUAGUUGUAACCUUUUAGAAUAUGAGUUCUUGUUGUUUGUAAAUGGUUGAGAUUAACAUUUGUCUCACUGCUCUGACAUUUUUCUCUGCUCCUUACCACCGUUGAGUGCAAGCCAGUGGCUCUGACUCUAGGUGGCAGUCAUUGGUAGGCAGAAGGGAAGGCUGCUGGGGUGCUUUGGCUUGAACCCUGCUAUCUCUGCUCUGGCUGCCUUCUCUAGUUGGAAUUUUUGUGGGGUUGGGUAGCAGUGUCAUUUCAGCAUCUCCCCCUUUCAAACAGAAACGGAGAUGCUAUGAAGAAAGAAAUAAGCAAAAAAGAAAGGCAAAAAAUAAGGGUGACUGAGGAAAUGGUGCAGCGAGACAUUCACAAAAGGAAGCUUUGGUGAUGCUAAAAAUAGUGGAGAGACUUCUUGACAGAUCAGCAAGACUCUUGUCAUAGAUUAGCAGAAACAGAUUUCUGUUUGUGAUGGGAGGAAUCCUUGUUUCCUGCUAAAUUCAGUAUCAGUAGGUUGCAAACGGUGCAACCAGGGAUGAGAGGAGUGGAGGAGGAGUACAUUGUUGUACCCUGAUUUUUAGAAAUGAGGAUUUCCUGACAGCCUCACAGCUGUGUGCCAUUUAAGAAAUACUUACUGCUUUAGAUGUCAUGUCUUUCACCUCUGCCUUGUCCCUCAUCCUCCUUUUGCAGUGUCCGUCAUCUGCUCUUCAUUUCUAACCUCUCUCCUGCCCACUUAUAGGCAAUUCCUUUCCUUCGUUCCUGUCAGCUCUCUGCCUCUUGACUCUCCACUCUUUCUUUGUAUUAAAAGUAGAGUAGGCUUCAAUUUUUCUCUCUGCUUUUCCUCGAACAGCUCUGUUUGCCUGCCUGCCUGCCCAGUCACUGCUGAGUGGUUGGAUGUAGCAGUGCUUGCGUGCUGUGGCCUGCUGUAACUGCAGAGCAGCAGUAGUCUCUCAGUACUUGCUGCUCUGGGAUGAUUACAUUUCAGGAGAUGAAUACAGUUUGAUAAGAAAGCCAUUGUUAUAAUAAAUACAAUUCAAAAACAGGAAUUAAUCUAUACGUUUUAUU
ensembl:lncRNA